UACGUAGGGUGCGAGCGUUAAUCGGAAUUACUGGGCGUAAAGUGUGCGCAGGUGGCCGCGCAAGUCGAGUGUGAAAUCCCCGGGCUUAACCUGGGAACUGCGUUUGAAACUGAAAGGCUAGAGUGUGGCAGAGGGGGGUGGAAUUCCACGUGUAGCAGUGAAAUGCGUAGAGAUGUGGAGGAACACCGAUGGCGAAGGCAGCCCCCUGGGCUAACACUGACGCUCAUGCACGAAAGCGUGGGAGCAAACAGG
rnacentral:rRNA from 1 species